rnacentral:rRNA from 1 species
AGAGUUUGAUCCUGGCUCAGGAUGAACGCUGGCGGCGUGCCUAAUACAUGCAAGUCGAACGCUUUGUGGUUCAACUGAUUUGAAGAGCUUGCUCAGAUAUGACGAUGAACAUUGCAAAGAGUGGCGAACGGGUGAGUAACACGUGGGAAACCUACCUCUUAGCAGGGGAUAACAUUUGGAAACAGAUGCUAAUACCGUAUAACAAUGACAACCGCAUGGUUGUUAUUUAAAAGAUGGUUCUGCUAUCACUAAGAGAUGGUCCCGCGGUGCAUUAGCUAGUUGGUAAGGUAAUGGCUUACCAAGGCGAUGAUGCAUAGCCGAGUUGAGAGACUGAUCGGCCACAAUGGGACUGAGACACGGCCCAUACUCCUACGGGAGGCAGCAGUAGGGAAUCUUCCACAAUGGGCGAAAGCCUGAUGGAGCAACGCCGCGUGUGUGAUGAAGGGUUUCGGCUCGUAAAACACUGUUGUAAGAGAAGAAUGACAUUGAGAGUAACUGUUCAAUGUGUGACGGUAUCUUACCAGAAAGGAACGGCUAAAUACGUGCCAGCAGCCGCGGUAAUACGUAUGUUCCAAGCGUUAUCCGGAUUUAUUGGGCGUAAAGCGAGCGCAGACGGUUAUUUAAGUCUGAAGUGAAAGCCCUCAGCUCAACUGAGGAAUUGCUUUGGAAACUGGAUGACUUGAGUGCAGUAGAGGAAAGUGGAACUCCAUGUGUAGCGGUGAAAUGCGUAGAUAUAUGGAAGAACACCAGUGGCGAAGGCGGCUUUCUGGACUGUAACUGACGUUGAGGCUCGAAAGUGUGGGUAGCAAACAGGAUUAGAUACCCUGGUAGUCCACACCGUAAACGAUGAGUGCUAGGUGUUUGAGGGUUUCCGCCCUUAAGUGCCGCAGCUAACGCAUUAAGCACUCCGCCUGGGGAGUACGACCGCAAGGUUGAAACUCAAAGGAAUUGACGGGGACCCGCACAAGCGGUGGAGCAUGUGGUUUAAUUCGAAGCAACGCGAAGAACCUUACCAGGGCUUGACAUCCCUUGACAACUCCAGAGAUGGAGCGUUCCCUUCGGGGACAAGGUGACAGGUGGUGCAUGGUUGUCGUCAGCUCGUGUCGUGAGAUGUUGGGUUCAGUCCCGCAACGAGCGCAACCCUUACUACUAGUUGCCAGCAUUCAGUUGGGCACUCUAGUGAGACUGCCGGUGACAAACCGGAGGAAGGUGGGGAUGACGUCAAAUCAUCAUGCCCCUUAUGACCUGGGCUACACACGUGCUACAAUGGCGUAUACAACGAGUUGCCAACCCGCGAGGGUGAGCUAAUCUCUUAAAGUACGUCUCAGUUCGGAUUGUAGGCUGCAACUCGCCUACAUGAAGUCGGAAUCGCUAGUAAUCGCGGAUCAGCACGCCGCGGUGAAUACGUUCCCGGGUCUUGUACACACCGCCCGUCACACCAUGAGAGUUUGUAACACCCAAAGCCGGUGGGGUAACCUUCGGGAGCCAGCCGUCUAAGGUGGGACAGAUGAUUAGGGUGAAGUCGUAACAAGGUAACC